UGUUAAAAAUUUCAUCAUUCUACUGUUAAAAACUGAUUUGACUAAUGGAAUAAUCAAACAAUUACACAUAACGUGCCACAUGUAACUUAUUCUAGUGUACAAGGACCAGUUCAUAACAGUAAAAGUUAAUUUAUUUUUUUAAUG
rfam:Gossypium raimondii Chr03_contig_58, whole genome shotgun sequence.